CGGCGAGUGAAGCGGCAAUAGCUCAAAUUUGAAAUCUGGCUCCUUUUAGGGGUCCGAGUUGUAAUUUGCAGAGGGUGCUUUGGCGUUGGUAGCGGUCUAAGUUCCUUGGAACAGGACAUCGCAGAGGGUGAGAAUCCCGUUUGUGGUCGCAUGCCUUCGCCGUGUAAAGCCCCUUCGACGAGUCGAGUUGUUUGGGAAUGCAGCUCUAAAUGGGAGGUAAAUUUCUUCUAAAGCUAAAUACUGGCCAGAGACCGAUAGCGCACAAGUAGAGUGAUCGAAAGAUGAAAAGCACUUUGGAAAGAGAGUCAAACAGCACGUGAAAUUGUUGAAAGGGAAGCGCUUGCAGUCAGACUUGCUCGUAGUUGCUCACCUAGGCUUUUGCCUGGGGCAUUCUUCUGCGAGCAGGCCAGCAUCAGUUUGGGCGGUCGGAUAAAGGUCUCUGUCAUGUAGCUUCCUUCGGGAAGAACUUAUAGGGGAGACGAAAUGCGACCAGCCCGGACUGAGGUCCGCGCUUCGGCUAGGAUGCUGGCGUAAUGGCUGUAAGCGGCCCGUCUUGAAACACGGACCAAGGAGUCUAACAUCUAUG
rnacentral:rRNA from 1 species